CCUACGGGGGGCAGCAGUGGGGAAUAUUGGACAAUGGGGGCAACCCUGAUCCAGCCAUGCCGCGUGUGUGAAGAAGGCCCUCGGGUUGUAAAGCACUUUCAGUGAGGAAGAACGCCUGGUGGUUAUUACCCAUCAGGAAAGACAUCACUCACAGAAGAAGCACCGGCUAACUCCGUGCCAGCAGCCGCGGUAAUACGGAGGGUGCGAGCGUUAAUCGGAAUUACUGGGCGUAAAGCGCGCGUAGGUGGCUUGAUAAGCCGGUUGUGAAAGCCCCGGGCUCAACCUGGGAACGGCAUCCGGAACUGUCAAGCUAGAGUGCAGGAGAGGAAGGUAGAAUUCCCGGUGUAGCGGUGAAAUGCGUAGAGAUCGGGAGGAAUACCAGUGGCGAAGGCGGCCUUCUGGACUGACACUGACACUGAGGUGCGAAAGCGUGGGUAGCAAACAGGAUUAGAUACCCGGGUAGUC
rnacentral:rRNA from 1 species